AUUGAACGCUGGCGGAAUGCUUUACACAUGCAAGUCGAACGGCAGCACGGGUGCUUGCACCUGGUGGCGAGUGGCGAACGGGUGAGUAAUAUAUCGGAACGUAUCCAAUAAUGGGGGAUAACUAGCCGAAAGGUUAGCUAAUACCGCAUACGCCCGGAGGGGGAAAGCUGGGGAUCGUAAGACCUAGCGUUGAUGGAGCGGCCGAUAUCUGAUUAGCUAGUUGGUGGGGUAAGAGCCUACCAAGGCGACGAUCAGUAGCUGGUCUGAGAGGACGACCAGCCACACUGGAACUGAGACACGGUCCAGACUCCUACGGGAGGCAGCAGUGGGGAAUUUUGGACAAUGGGGGCAACCCUGAUCCAGCCAUUCCGCGUGAGUGAAGAAGGCCUUCGGGUUGUAAAGCUCUUUCGCAAGGGAAGAAAACUCGAUCUCUAAUAUAGGUUGAGGCUGACGGUACCUUGAUAAGAAGCGCCGGCUAACUACGUGCCAGCAGCCGCAGUAA
rnacentral:rRNA from 1 species